AGAAUCAACGCUGGCGGCGUGCCUAACACAUGCAAGUCGAACGAGAAAGUGGUAGCAAUACCAUGAGUAAAGUGGCGCACGGGUGAGUAACACGUGACUAACCUACCCUCGAGUGGGGGAUAACUGAGGGAAACCUUAGCUAAUACCGCAUAAUACCCACGGGUCAAAGGAGCAAUUCGCUCGAGGAGGGGGUCGCGGCCGAUUAGUUAGUUGGCGGGGUAAUGGCCCACCAAGACGAUGAUCGGUA
rnacentral:rRNA from 1 species